GAUGAACGCUAGCGGCAGGCUUAACACAUGCAAGUCGAGGGGCAGCACGUCUUCGGAUGGUGGCGACCGGCGCACGGGUGAGUAACGCGUAUGCAAUCUACCUUUUACAGGGGCAUAGCCCGGGGAAACCCGGAUUAAUAUCCUAUAGUACCAUUAUAUAGCAUUAUAUUAUGGUUAAAGUUUCGGCGGUAAAAGAUGAGCAUGCGUCCUAUUAGCUUGAUGGUAAGGUAACGGCUUACCAUGGCUAUGAUAGGUAGGGGUCCUGAGAGGGAGACCCCCCACACUGGUACUGAGACACGGACCAGACUCCUACGGGAGGCAGCAGUGAGGAAUAUUGGACAAUGGGCGAGAGCCUGAUCCAGCCAUGCCGCGUGCAGGAAGACGGCCCUAUGGGUUGUAAACUGCUUUUAUACGGGAAGAAACACCCCUUCGUGAAGGGACUUGACGGUACCGUAUGAAUAAGGAUCGGCUAACUCCGUGCCAGCAGCCGCGGUAAAUACGGAGGAU
rnacentral:rRNA from 1 species